AUCCCUCUAGUCUACUGGAGUCUGCAUAUGGCAUGUUCCCCUAAAUAUUCUUGCAUUGGAGCUUGUCCCCUGCAUCUCACGACACGCAUUGUUGCCCCAGGACGCCAGCACCAUAUCCUUUGAGCCCUGCAGUCACAGAGAGCAUCAACCACUAAGUCUAUUUACUUUAGACGACCUCCCCCCAUACAGAGUUAAGCCUGCUACGUCAUCCUGAGAAUGAAGGAUUUCUUGAGCAGAAUUCCUCCAUAUCGCCCCUUGCACCCGGGUCCACACCCUUUUUCUCUCAGAAAACAAGCAAGCGUCUAAGGAAUGAAAAGGAAAAAAGAAAAGAAAAGAAGCUGUUUGUCCUUUCAGUCACUUAAUAGCAAACGUCAUGAAAUUCGAUGAAAGUUCAACGUAUUUAUUGUAUUCUGUAUGGAGCAUGCUUCAGCAGCCCGAGAGACCACAAGUGAGUCCCAGUUGCCUGGCAGAGCAAACUCAUGAAGUGGGAAAUGGCAUCUCACACCCAGCUCACAGUCUCCAAAUCGGACCCUUGUUUCCUCGAUGUGUCAUUGGUUUGGCUAUCUCAGCCCUGGACUUUGGAAAUGGUUAAGGAAGCAAGAAGGAGCACCGAGGUAUUGAUGAAAGGCUAUGGAGAGGCACCCAGCACACUCAUAUCAAUGAAAUCUGCAAUGUCAAAAUGGAAAGAAAAGCUUACAAACUACCCAAAGGAGCAAGCAAGGUCUCAGGCCCAAAAAAGGCCAGCAGAAGCUGUAACGUCUUGCAGGCAUAGUUGUCACAUAUGCCAUCUGGCUCCCUAGCCCAUCAGUAGUGCCAUCAAUAUCCUCUGCAAACAGGAAGGACGCUGCCUGUUGACAAUGUACGUGGGUAAAGAUUUGCUCUAGACAAUGAUAAUGUUCUCCUGGCCUUAUGGAUUAUUAGCGAUAAAAACUUGCUCUGGAACCAGGAAGAAUGAGGCAAGGUUUUUGUUUGUUUGUUUUUGUUUUGUUUCCUUUUGUAAGAAAAAUUUAUUUUUAUUCUUUUUUAUUCUACUUAUUCACUUUACAUCCCACUCACUGCCCCCUGUCAGUCACCCCCCUCUCACCAUCCUUUCCCCCAUCCCCCAAACCUUCCCCUUCUCUGAGUGAGUGAGGCCUCCCUUGGUUAUCACCCUCCCUAGCACUUCAAGUCUAUGAAGCUCUAGGCACAUCCUCUUACAGUGCAGGCAGACAAGACAGCCCAGGUAGAACAUAUUCCACAUAUAGGCUACAGCUUUUGAGAUAGCCCCUGCUCCAGUUGUUCAGGAACCACAUGAGGACCAAGCCUCACAACUGCUCCAUAUGUUUGGGAAGGCCUAGGUUCAGCCUGUAUAUGUUCUUUGGAUGGUGGUUUAGUCUCUGAGAAUCCCAAGAAUUCAGAUUAGUUGACUCUAUUGGUCUUCCUGUGCAGUCCCUAUUCUCUUCAGGGAUCAUAAUUCUUCUUCCUUUUCUUCCAAAAAAUUUCCCACACUCCACCCAGUUUUUGGCUGUGGGUGUCUGACUAUCUCUUUUGUCCUCAUCUGAUUCGGAACCCCUCCCCCAUUCGCUCCCAUGCUUUCUCCUACCGAGUUCCCUCCCUCCUUUUGCCUCGUAUUUCAUUCCUCCUUCUAAGUGAGAUUCGAACAUCUUCACUUGGGUUUUCCCUCUUGUUUAGCUUUGGGUGUGUGGAGUGGAGUGUGGAUAUCCUGUAUUUUAUGGCUAAUAUUCACUUAUAAGUAAGUACAUAUCAUGUAUGUCUUUUUUGGGAUGGGUUACCUCAGGGUGAUAUUCUCAAGUUCCAUCCAUUUGUGGGGCAAGUCUUUUAAUGUUGCUUGGAGAAGGAGAACUUUCUGAGUUUGACAAAACUUAUGUAUCGUAGGCCCUUCAUAAAUAGCAAUGUGUACUUUUCAAAUAAAUGCUAAAAAGCUUUGUGAAGCCAGUCACUGUCUUAUUUAGGUUGUCUCCAGUGUUUGACAACACAUCUAGCACCUAGCAGGUAGUUAGUAUGAAUUGAGUGAAGUGUAUACUUGAGAUAACUUGGCCAGUAGACUGUAAAUUCUAGAGUUAUUUCAAGGUAGCUCUUUUUUCCCUCCUUUAUGUGAUGGACAUGUCAAUCGCCUUCAUGGUCUUGCUGUCUUGACACUUAAUUUGCCUUGGCUCUGCUCUGCUCCUUGUAAGGUAAACAAAUCUAGUUACUUCCCGCCUCUUCGUUUAUCACUGUGACAGUACGAGGCCAAGAUUGUUUAUUUUAGGAUGACACACUGUGAGUCCAAAAACCAAUCACUUAUUCCAUGCAUCACCAUUUCAGUGGGCUUAAUUAUGCUUAAUCAAUAACAAUGAUUUCUGGAGGAUGUGCCCUG
ensembl:lncRNA LOC108352885 uncharacterized LOC108352885